AUAUGAAGUCGGGCCUGCCCAGUGAGUUUAUUUAACGGCCGCGGUACCCUGACCGUGCAAAGGUAGCAUAAUACUUGCCUUAUAAUUGAAGGCUGGAAUGAAUGGUUUGACAAGAGUGUAGCUGUCUCAUUAUAAUUUAAUAGAAUUUUAUUUUAGGAUGAAAAAGUCCUAGUUUAAUUAAAAGACAAGAAGACCCUAUCGAGCUUAAAGUUAAUUAAUAAAAAUCAUUUUUGUAAAAAUUAGUUAUUAAAAAUUUUGGUUGGGGCAACUAAGGAGCAAAAAAAGCCUCUUUUUAAAAACUAUACAAACUGGUAAAGAUCCAAUAGUUUUGAUCAAAGAAAAUAGUUACCGUAGGGAUAACAGCAUUAUCUUUUUUGAGAGCCCUUAUCGAAAAAAAGGUUUGUGACCUCGAUGUUGGACCAGAAUAUCCCAAAGAUGCAGAA
rnacentral:rRNA from 1 species